rnacentral:sRNA from 1 species
UCGGGACUCACUGGCGCUGAGUGGCCCAUA